GCUGCCUAUAGCAACCAAGCGGCAGCGGAACCAGGCAGAUUUUUUAAACAGUCACUGGCUCCUUCAUUGAGAAAGCAGUUUGAUUUGUGCAUUGCUCUGAAUACAUUGCUUCUUAUUCUCUCCAGCUAUUGAGAGUGAGAUUUAUUCCUCUUAUCACAGCACAGCAGGAGCGCAUGGUCCGUAAAGGACAGAGGACACAUUCAUCGUGACAACCCAAAAGUUAAAGAAGCAAUGAAGUAAGGAGGGAGAGAUGCACCCAUGUACAGCAGAGGUACUAAGAGGACAACCCUUCAGGCUGACCAAAUGUAUACAAACAAGUCAGAUUACUUUGGUGACCGGAAUAUUCCGAAAGCAGUGCCUCCCAAUGCCCUGUUACAGUCUGGGCCUACAGUCUUGCAUGCUGAACUUCAAAACCUACCAACAAAAUUAUGUUUUCAACUGUAUGAAGUCCAGACGAGACGAGUGAAACUGUGGGAACACUCCAAACUGUGGGAACACGGACAGUAAAGGCUAUUUAUUAACACAGCAGUGGGAAGAGCUAGUAAAACCCUGUGCAAGCUGCUCUGUACAAGCAGAACAAAUCUGUGGCAAAAUCAUAUGUACAGGAUGACAGUUUGUUCUUCCCUUUUAGUUUCCUGAUGACAAAUUCAUUACACAUCUAUAGCUCAGAUUUUGCAUGCGAGUGAGCUAGAGUGAGCAGGUGUCCGGUUUUCGACCAGAACACCCGGUAGAAAAGGAACUCUGGCGGCUCCGAUCAACACCACCGACCAGGCCAUUAAAGGUCUGGUUGGUGGUGCAGCAGCACUAAGGCAGGUCCCUACGUGUCCUGGCACCAUGCUGUGCCCCAGAAGUGGCCAGCAGGUCCAGCUCCUAGGCAGGGGGAGCCACGGGGCUCUGUGUGCUGCCCCCGCCCUGAGCACCAGCUCCGCACUCCCAUUGGCCAGGAACCUCCUACCCCCACUGCCUACUAGUGUCGGAUCUGCUGGCCAC